rnacentral:ncRNA from 1 species
CUAGCUGUUAUAACUUCUACUUAUAUAUCGUCAUAAUAAGGUUGACAGUUUCUAGCCAGUACCGUAAACACUGGACUAUAAGUAAAAAGUGUUUAACA